rnacentral:rRNA from 1 species
ACGGAAGGCAGCAGUGGGGAAUAUUGGGCAAUGGGGGAAACCCUGACCCAGCAACGCCGCGUGAAGGAAGAAGGCCUUCGGGUUGUAAACUUCUUUUACCAGGGACGAUAAUGACGGUACCUGGAGAAAAAGCAACGGCUAACUACGUGCCAGCAGCCGCGGUAAUACGUAGGUUGCAAGCGUUGUCCGGAUUUACUGGGUGUAAAGGGCGUGUAGGCGGAGCUGCAAGUCAGAUGUGAAAUCCCGGGGCUCAACCCCGGAACUGCAUUUGAAACUGUAGCCCUUGAGUAUCGGAGAGGCAAGCGGAAUUCCUAGUGUAGCGGUGGAAUGCGUAGAUAUUAGGAGGAACACCAGUGGCGAAGGCGGCUUGCUGGACGACAACUGACGCUGAGGCGCGAAAGCGUGGGGAGCAAACAGGAUUAGAUACCCUGGUA